GAAUACUGCUGAGUUUUUGGUAGUACAAAAAGUGAAGCCUACAUCUGGAGAUUCUUGUGGAAGCAAUUCUACUUAAGAAAAAGAUUUAAACAUCCUAAUCAACCAAGUUAGUUGGGACUAAAAAUGACCAACUGUUGAUCACGAAUACAAGGCCCACCUCUGCAGAGGACCCAGCUGUGUGCUCGGUGACCUUCAGGGCCCACAGCUUGGGAGGUACUCCCUGCUGGGUUUCCCUCACAGGGGCUGAAAAUCAUGGCUCGGACUACGACCCUCCCAGACACCAUCACCAGUGCACGGCCACGUAUGGCUGAAGUACUUUUCCUCAAAUCUGCCCUGUCCUGUCAAAAUUGUUUGCCCACAUUGCUGCAAUCUGUGUUCACGGAAGCCCGCAACAAGGCCAUAUUUGGAAAGCAAUGGAAAGUACGAGAGCUUCUGAGAGUCAUACGCCUGGGAAAGCAACGACUGCGAGAGACACAGCUCUUCUCCUGUCUUCCAAACCGAAAAGCACUCGAGGCGAUGGAGCAGCUGCCGUUGCUCCAGGCUGGUUUGUAUUGACCUUACAUGACCUUUUACCUGAUGCUGGA